GGGCUCACUAUUAGAAUGCUUGCUGUCGUGUGUGUUCGUCUCUCCAGUUUACAGUCGUGUGUGUAUACUAACAUUACACCUUUAAUAUGUUGUGUCCCUCUUCUCAUCUGUGACCACUCACGCAAUGUUCUUGUCCCGGCCGCCCUUCAACACAGUGGUCCAGUGGUCGACUUUUCUUUAUCAUCUCCCUCUACACCUAUGUUGACUCAUUCCAUACAUUACCAACGUCUGUGCUCUCAUGGUUCUGUUCUUUGCCGCAGAUUCUAUCUAUUCUAUCAGGCCACCUUGUGAACGAGUUUUAGCUGGUAACGUCAAAGGUUCUGUAUAUACACGAUCUUUGGUAGUGUUCCACAAUGAUUUUUAACGUACAUUUGGUGGCCUCAGAAAACCUCUGAUAUGUCACCUUGUUCAAUAUCGAGCACCAGGCGGAAAAUAAUAAAUUUCCUACCAAUGCAAAAAAAAAUGUAUAAAAACAAUGCCAAACAGUAUUCAUUAUCAUUCUUUCAAAAUCUACAAGCUUUUAUCAAAAUAAUGAUUUGAAAGGUUAAUUUAGAUAACAUAUAUAUAUUUAGGUUCUCGCUCAAUAAAUUAGAAAUGUUCAUGUCAAUUUUUAAAUAAAGUUUUGUCUUUUGUAAGCUUGUUAUCUUGAAAAUUUCGUACAACAAAAAACAGAUAGAGCUUAAAGAAAGUGAAAAUUGGACAGAAUGGAAAGCUACAGAUCAGAAAAUGCUCCUUGCUUCAGAAAGUGAUUUUCCCAUUUCCCUCUUGGUUUCCCUUUGCCACCACUAUUUGUUUCUCUUUCUGCUGGGCUGAUAUUUGCUCCAAUCAAGUCAUUGAUGCUCUAGCUGUUCCCGUCUUUUUCUUGGUCUUCCCCUUCCUCUGUUUUCUGAUACCUUUCUUCGGAUAAUUAUUUUAUACAGAGCUUCUGUGUUUUUGUGAGCCAAAAUAAGUGAGCUUUGUGGUCAAAUUAAAUCUAUAAAUAAACAGUUCUUUAUCUGGAGCUUUUUCAAGAUCCUCCGGUUGCAUUAUUUAGAAUUAUGUUUCUACGUAUUUGUUUCAUUUUUAUUUUGUUUCGGAUCCCAACAGUUGUCUGUACCUGAGUGCCAAAGAAAUCUCGCCCUUCCUUGAGAUACCGCCAUAGUUCUCAACACUACACUCAACCAUUCACCUAAGAAACGCGAUUCUACAGACAGGCAGUGUUCCCUGCCGUAUGUGAGAGACAAUCCCUGUGGUCUGAGGCCGGUCAAGCCAGUGCCAAUAUGGAGUCAGUAUCUCUCUGACCGCUCCUCUCUACCUGUGUGUGGGAAGAAAACGGUGGUAGGGGAGAAUGUCAAAAAAAUGUCAAUGAUGUCUUCAGAACGUCAGAACCUGACAGAAAUGUUCAGCUAUCUGUCCGGAGAACAUUCACGACGCUACCAUGUUGAAGGGGACAUCAGCGCUGCUUACUCAGAGAUAGUCAUCAACAGGAUCUGUCGGUAGAUUUGACUGGACGAAAGAUGAAGCAGACAAAGAGAUGUGGAUAAUUGAGUGGAUCUGUGUGGAUCGGAAAAAACCCUCAUGUCUAGCUCAUCUCAAAUAUUCCCCACUAUUUUUUAGCUCAUCCCCAGUAUUUUUUUAUAUGAUCCCUAUUAUUUUCUAGCUCUUCCCUA